rnacentral:misc_RNA from 1 species
CUAGCAUCUUCCUUGAACUUGGUAAAGUUACUGGUUGAUGUUGGAAAAAGAGGUUGCAACUUCUUACUGUUAUAACGUGAAAAAGAUGAGGCAUUGGUAUGGUUCAGCAAAUGCUUUUCGUCAGCUCCUUGAUUCUUUGAGCUAUUGGGAAAAGAUCUUCUUAGCGACAGUUCGAGCCAUGGAGUGAACUCAAACUUAUUUGUGCCAUCAUUGAUACUUGUGUGUCCAUCUAUGCGCUUUGGGCCAUUAUCAAAUGAACCAAUCAAAUCAACAGUUCCACUAGAAGAUUCAACCAGUUCAUUAUUGUGGCCCUGAGAGGCAUUNNNNNNNNCCCUAAUAUUUUCUGGUCUUGUACUUUCAUCUUGGAUCAUUGACUUAGCACAGCAAGCAUGUUCUCCCAGUUUCUGAGCAGGUAGAUUAUAAGCUUCAUUGCAUGAUACACUCAUUAGCCCCAAUUGAGUUGACCAAUCUCCAGUUUUACUCUCAGGGUUAACUGCCCUUUUGUCAAGCACGGCACACUCUUUGUACUUCUCUUUCUCCGUAUUACUCAGAUUUGACUCACUACUAUACUUCAUCUGUGAAAGACCUUGGGCAUCGCUCCUUUUCUCGCUGCAUUCCUUUCUUUUAUGUGAGAAAGUUGCACAAUCACUACAGUGAUCACUUGUCGAAUUGUUUUCAAAGGUGGAUUCAACUUUAUGAGUUUGCCUUCUCCAAACAUGCUGCCACAGGUU